rnacentral:lncRNA from 1 species
GAGCUUGAUGUUUACUGCAUUAUUUACAAGGGAAUGGUUAGAGGUAGAUAUUUUCAAGCUAUUGUGUCAUGUACUGCGUUUCAUACACACAUUACUCAAAAUUACCUCACAAUGUGGCACUGCUAAUUUGAACACUGACUUUGUUUUCAGGCCAUUGCAAUUGAAGGCUGUUGCUUGGAUGAAGGUUCUAAGCUUGUAGUUUGCCCAAAUAUUUUGCUAUAUGCUUGGGCUGAAUAGUUUGAGCAUUGGCUUUCUAAUUGAAUUUUUAAGAGAUUUUUUAAACCUUGGCAUACCCUUUUAUUCUCUUUUUGUUAUGGAUUGUAAAAAGUUAAGUUGAGGCAACCCUUUCUUUACAUUAAAUAAAUUACAAAUGUAAUAAAUGACGGGGAAAAUAAAUUAGUUGGCUACACUUUGGUUAAGAAAAAUUGAAAAAAAAUAGAAAAAGGGAAGAGCAGAAAAAAUGAUUUGUCCACAAGUUGAGGUCACUUACUUUGCCACUAGCCUAAAAACAAUAGUCACAUACUUAGUGUAAUGCACAGAUUGAUAAACUCUCACCACUACCCCUACAAUAUAUAUUUAUUUGUUUUUCUGUAUAAAAUUUGAUCAUCGCAUAACAAUUUACUCUUUUUAGUAUAUUUUAAUUUAUUAAUUGUACGUAUACAUUUAUUAUUAAAAAUUA